rnacentral:rRNA from 1 species
AGCGAACGCUGGCGGCAGGCCUAACACAUGCAAGUCGAACGAAGUCUUCGGACUUAGUGGCGGACGGGUGAGUAACACGUGGGAACGUGCCUUUAGGUUCGGAAUAACUCAGGGAAACUUGCGCUAAUACCGAGUGUGCCCUUCGGGGGAAAGAUUUAUCGCCUUUAAAGCGGCCCGCGUCUGAUUAGCUAGUUGGUGAGGUAAAGGCUCACCAAGGCUACGAUCAGUAGCUGGUCUGAGAGGAUGACCAGCCACCUUGGGACUGAGACACGGCCCAAACUCCUACGGGAGGCAGCAGUGGGGAAUCUUGCGCAAUGGGCGAAAGCCUGACGCAGCCAUGCCGCGUGGAUGAUGAAGGUCUUAGGAUUGUAAAAUCCUUUCACCGGUGAAGAUAAUGACUGUAGCCGGAGAAGAAGCCCCGGCUAACUUCGUGCCAGCCGCCGCAGUAAAAC